rnacentral:rRNA from 1 species
GACGAACGCUGGCGGCAUGCCUAACACAUGCAAGUCGAACGGCGAUUAUUUCGGUAAUCUUAGUGGCGAACGGGUGAGUAACGCGUGGGCAACCUGCCCUCUAGAUGGGGACAACAUCCCGAAAGGGGUGCUAAUACCGAAUGUGACAGCAAUCUCGCAUGGGGAUGCUGUGAAAGAUGGCCUCUAUUUAUAAGCUAUCGCUAGAGGAUGGGCCUGCGUCUGAUUAGCUAGUUGGUGGGGUAACGGCCUACCAAGGCGAUGAUCAGUAGCCGGUCUGAGAGGAUGAACGGCCACAUUGGGAAUGAGACACGGCCAAGACUCCUACGGGAGGCAGCAGUGGGGAGUCUUCCGCAAUGGGCGAAAGCCUGACGGAGCAAUGCCGCGUGAGUGAUGAAGGAAUUCGUUCCGUAAAGCUCUUUUGUUUAUGACGAAUGUGCAGAUUGUGAACAAUGAUCUGUAAUGACGGUAGUGAACGAAUAAGCCACGGCUAACUACGUA